UACGGAGGGUGCAAGCGUUAAUCGGAAUUACUGGGCGUAAAGCGCACGCAGGUGGCUGAGUCAGUCGAUUGUGAAAGCCCUGGGCUUAACCUGGGAAUUGCAGUCGAUACUACUCAGCUAGAGUAUGGGAGAGGGCAGUGGAAUUCCCGGUGUAGCGGUGAAAUGCGUAGAUAUCGGGAGGAACAUCAGUGGCGAAGGCGGCUGCCUGGCCCGGUACUGACGCUGAUGUGCGAAAGCGUGGGGAGCAAACAGG
rnacentral:rRNA from 1 species